rnacentral:rRNA from 1 species
AGAGUUUGAUCCUGGCUCAGGAUGAACGCCGGCGGUGUGCCUAAUACAUGCAAGUCGUACGCACUGGCCCAACUGAUUGAUGGUGCUUGCACCUGAUUGACGAUGGAUCACCAGUGAGUGGCGGACGGGUGAGUAACACGUAGGAAACCUGCCUCGGAGCGGGGGAUAACAUUUGGAAACAGAUGCUAAUACCGCAUAACAACAAAAGCCACAUGGCUUUUGUUUGAAAGAUGGCUUUGGCUAUCACUCUGGGAUGGACCUGCGGUGCAUUAGCUAGUUGGUAAGGUAACGGCUUACCAAGGCAAUGAUGCAUAGCCGAGUUGAGAGACUGAUCGGCCACAAUGGAACUGAGACACGGUCCAUACUCCUACGGGAGGCAGCAGUAGGGAAUCUUCCACAAUGGGCGCAAGCCUGAUGGAGCAACACCGCGUGAGUGAAGAAGGGUUUCGGCUCGUAAAGCUCUGUUGUUGGAGAAGAACGUGCGUGAGAGUAACUGUUCACGCAGUGACGGUAUCCAACCAGAAAGUCACGGCUAACUACGUGCCAGCAGCCGCGGUAAUACGUAGGUGGCAAGCGUUAUCCGGAUUUAUUGGGCGUAAAGCGAGCGCAGGCGGUUGCUUAGGUCUGAUGUGAAAGCCUUCGGCUUAACCGAAGAAGUGCAUCGGAAACCGGGCGACUUGAGUGCAGAAGAGGACAGUGGAACUCCAUGUGUAGCGGUGGAAUGCGUAGAUAUAUGGAAGAACACCAGUGGCGAAGGCGGCUGUCUGGUCUGCAACUGACGCUGAGGCUCGAAAGCAUGGGUAGCGAACAGGAUUAGAUACCCUGGUAGUCCAUGCCGUAAACGAUGAGUGCUAGGUGUUUGGAGGGUUUCCGCCCUUCAGUGCCGGAGCUAACGCAUUAAGCACUCCGCCUGGGGAGUACGACCGCAAGGUUGAAACUCAAAGGAAUUGACGGGGGCCCGCACAAGCGGUGGAGCAUGUGGUUUAAUUCGAAGCUACGCGAAGAACCUUACCAGGUCUUGACAUCUUGCGCUAACCUUAGAGAUAAGGCGUUCCCUUCGGGGACGCAAUGACAGGUGGUGCAUGGUCGUCGUCAGCUCGUGUCGUGAGAUGUUGGGUUAAGUCCCGCAACGAGCGCAACCCUUGUUACUAGUUGCCAGCAUUAAGUUGGGCACUCUAGUGAGACUGCCGGUGACAAACCGGAGGAAGGUGGGGACGACGUCAGAUCAUCAUGCCCCUUAUGACCUGGGCUACACACGUGCUACAAUGGACGGUACAACGAGUCGCAAGCUCGCGAGAGUAAGCUAAUCUCUUAAAGCCGUUCUCAGUUCGGACUGUAGGCUGCAACUCGCCUACACGAAGUCGGAAUCGCUAGUAAUCGCGGAU